UACAGAGGGUGCGAGCGUUAAUCGGAAUUACUGGGCGUAAAGCGCACGUAGGCGGCUUGGUAUGUCGGGUGUGAAAUCCCCGGGCUCAACCUGGGAACUGCAUCCGAAACUGCCUUGCUCGAGUAUGGGAGAGGGAAGUGGAAUUUCCGGUGUAGCGGUGAAAUGCGUAGAUAUCGGAAGGAACAUCAGUGGCGAAGGCGACUUCCUGGACCAAUACUGACGCUCAGGUGCGAAAGCGUGGGGGAGCAAACAGGAUUAAGCA
rnacentral:rRNA from 1 species